GACGAACGCUGGCGGCGUGCCUAAUACAUGCAAGUCGAACGCAGUGGGGACGGGUGAGUAACACGUGUGUAACCUCCCCCUCAGGGGGGAUAACACUUGGACACAGGUGCUAAACCGAUACUGAUGGAUGGACCCUCGGUGCAUUAGCUAGUUGGUGAGGUAACGGCUCACCAAGGCCACGAUGCAUAGCCGACCGGGGAGGGUGAUGGGCCACACGGGGACGGAUACAGGGCCCAGACUCCUACGGGAGGCAGCAGUAGGGAAUCGUCGGCAAUGGACGAAAGUCUGACCGGGAAACGCCGCGUGAGUGAAGAAGGUUUUCGGAUCGUAAAACUCUGUUGUUAGAGAAGCGGUAUCUAACCAGAAAGCCACGGCUAACUACGUGCCAGCAGCCGCGGUAAUUC
rnacentral:rRNA from 1 species